rnacentral:rRNA from 1 species
GAUGAACGCUGGCGGCGUGCUUAACACAUGCAAGUCGAACGGAAAGGCCAGUGCUUGCACUGGUGCUCGAGUGGCGAACGGGUGAGUAACACGUGGGUGAUCUGCCCUGCACUUUGGGAUAAGCCUGGGAAACUGGGUCUAAUACCAGAUAGGACCAUGCUUUGGAUGGUGUGGUGGAAAGUUUUUUCGGUGUGGGAUGAGCUUGCGGCCUAUCAGCUUGUUGGUGGGGUAAUGGCCUACCAAGGCGUCGACGGGUAGCCGGCCUGAGAGGGUGUACGGCCACAUUGGGACUGAGAUACGGCCCAGACUCCUACGGGAGGCAGCAGUGGGGAAUAUUGCACAAUGGGCGCAAGCCUGAUGCAGCGACGCCGCGUGGGGGAGGACGGCCUUCGGGUUGUAAACUCCUUUCGCAACUGACGAAGCUUUUUGUGACGGUAGGUUGAGAAGAAGCACCGGCUAACUACGUG